AGGGCACCACCAGGAGUGGAGCCUGCGGCUUAAUUUGACUCAACACGGGGAAACUCACCCGGCCCGGACACCGUAAGGAUUGACAGAUUGAUAGCUUUUUCAUGAUUCGGUGGAUGGUGGUGCAUGGCCGUUCUCAGUUCGUGGAGCGAUUUGUCUGGUUUAUUCCGAUAACGAGCGAGACUCUAGCCUACUAAAUAGUUCGCACAUUGUCUCUGUGUGUGUGACUUCUUAGAGGGAUUUUCGGUGUUCGGCCGCACGAAAUUGAGCAAUAACAGGUCUGUGAUGCCCUUAGAUGUCCGGGGCUGCACGCGCGCUACACUGGCAAAAUCAGCGUGCUUGUCCUUCCCCGAAAGGGGUUGGUAAACCCUUGAAAAUUUGCCGCGAUUGGGAUUGGAAACUGCAAUUAUUUUCCAUGAACGAGGAAUUCCAAGUAAGUGCGAGUCAUCAACUCGCGUUGAUUACGUCCCUGCCCUUUGUACACACCGCCCGUCGCUGCCCGGGACUGAGCCAUUUCGAGAA
rnacentral:rRNA from 1 species